rnacentral:lncRNA from 1 species
CUCUCCUGGAGACCUUGCUGGAGCUGUUGCAUAGACUGGCUCUGGGAUUAAGUGCUAGACCACUGAAACCAGAUCUAUUCUCUAGGCCUUCCUGCUUCUCUCUGUGCCUGGGAAGCUGACCUAAAUGGACCACACCACCUGCCUUCCUUGCCCUCUGGCAAUCGACCAACAGAAGUCACCAGCAGGAGAUGAGAACAAGAAGAGAUGCAGAAGCUGUUGUCUUGGCCAGGAGGAGAGACACGUCUGCAGCGACAGACAGAAUCCAGCAUGGCGGUCGCUCAGUGGGUGUUGACGUCCUCGCCGGGUUUACCCGGGACUUCCAGGAGGGAGUCUUUCCUAGAGGCAAAGAGGAGCAGAAGCAAGUUAUGGGAACAAGGCGGCGAGUAGGAGAUAGAGAGAAGAAGUGAAAG